rnacentral:lncRNA from 1 species
ACUCUUCCCUGUUCCCAACCAAGGCCAGGGGGCAGUUGCACCCAGAGGACCCCAGGCAGUAUGACUGAUGUCAGCUGUAAACCAGCAAAGGAGAAGACCUAUUAAGAGCUAUUGCUGAGCCACAGGGUCUACUUAAAAGGUGAUCAAAUUGGAUGAACUUUACUGCCAUCUGGGGAUGUAAUAUUUUCGUUUAUGUUUGUCAUUCUAUCUUUUAAUCUCAUUAAAGAGACUCAUUAUGGAGUUUAAGGGAUAAAAGAAAAAGCAUUUCAGUGUUUUCACUUACUGUGAAAGCAAGUGGAGAAAAGACAGUCUUCUUUGUUGUCUCCUGAGAGUUUUUGAGGCUGAACCUAGCAAGUGAACUCGCCAAAGGGCACACUCCUGUCUGUGGAUAUGCACUACUUUCAGCAUCUGUGGAGGACAAUGCCAAUGCAUGGUAGCACUGCUGAUCGUCCAUGUGAGGCCCAGGGAACAGAACUGCAGCCUGGACAAGUGGUGGAGGAAACAGCCUGCAAGAGAGUGUCACUUCUGCCAAGCUUUUCAACUUUAAACUUUAAACCCUGUGUGUUUGACAAACUCCCAGAGUUACAGUAUAAUAGCAUUCUUCUUUCUUUUUCUCUUUCUUUUUCUUUUUCUUUUUCUUUUUCUUUUUCUUUUUCUUUUUCUUUUUCUUUUUCUUUUUCUUUUUCUUUUUCUUUUUCUUUUUCUCUUUCUUUUUCUUUUUCUUUUUCUUUUUCUUUUUCUUUUUCUUUUUCUUUUUCUUUUUCUUUUUCUUUUUAACUAAAAAUAAAGAUUCUUUCUCCUCCUGCCUUUUUAGCUGU